rnacentral:rRNA from 1 species
UACGGAGGGUGCAAGCGUUAAUCGGAAUUACUGGGCGUAAAGGGGGCGUAGGCGGCCGUGAAAGUCCGGUGUGAAAAUUCACGGCUCAACCGUGGGACUGCGCUGGAAACUACACGGCUUGAGGACGGUAGAGGGAGACGGAACUGCUGGUGUAGGGGUGAAAUCCGUAGAUAUCAGCAGGAACGCCGGUGGGGAAGCCGGUCUCCUGGGCCGCUCCUGACGCUGAGGCCCGAAAGCUAGGGGAGCAAACCGG